rnacentral:rRNA from 1 species
GACGAACGCUGGCGGCGUGCUUAACACAUGCAAGUCGAACGGAAGGGCCCUGCUUUUGUGGGGUGCUCGAGUGGCGAACGGGUGAGUAACACGUGAGUAACCUGCCCUUGACUUUGGGAUAACUUCAGGAAACUGGGGCUAAUACCGGAUAGGAGCUCCUGCUGCAUGGUGGGGGUUGGAAAGUUUCGGCGGUUGGGGAUGGACUCGCGGCUUAUCAGCUUGUUGGUGGGGUAGUGGCUUACCAAGGCUUUGACAGGUAGCCGGCCUGAGAGGGUGACCGGCCACAUUGGGACUGAGAUACGGCCCAGACUCCUACGGGAGGCAGCAGUGGGGAAUAUUGCACAAUGGGCGGAAGCCUGAUGCAGCAACGCCGCGUGCGGGAUGACGGCCUUCGGGUUGUAAACCGCUUUCGCCUGUGACGAAGCGUGAGUGACGGUAAUGGGUAAAGAAGCACCGGCUAACUACGUG